rnacentral:lncRNA from 1 species
UGAAGAAAAAGUUUUCUAUUUUAUGCAUUGGCGCCCGCAAAUGACGGCUCGAUUGAAGGCGAUUUCGGUUUCGGUUUCUGACUGCGCAAAGCGCCACCUGUUUCCUGCAGCAAGUGUCAUGGCAACUUCCUGUUUACCUUUCUGGCUCCAACGCGUGCUUUCAACUUCCAAACUUCUGCGCUGUUCUCCGUGACAUUGUGAAAUCUAUACGGAUUUAUACGUGGUGAUCAUAUCUAGUACCAUCCGGAACAUCAAGCAUCAAUAUUUGAUACGCGACACUUUGCCUACUGGUCGUCAGCAGCUCCCAUAAAGGUGAUUCGCACAGAUCAUGGCUUGAAGCCGUCUGCUGCUUCAGUUUCUUACGCUUGGAUCUUCAGCAAAGGUGAACUUUGCUCGGGAGAUUGCGGCGCCGAUCGAGCGCACAAAUAUUCCGCAGGUCAUCCUUUGGCCGCAUCCCUUGGAAGCACAUAAAAUAAGCAUCGUGAAUG